ensembl:lncRNA
CCCCACCCACCUCUCAGGCCCUCCUGGGAUAACUGUCCUCCUCUGGGGCCCUGCACCUGCUCCCAGCCAUGGUGGCCAGGCUCACUGCUCUCCUUGUUUACCUCGUUUUCUCCUUGGCCAUCCUAGUCCAGACAGGUAAGGAUAUGGAGACUUCAAUGAUUUUAAUCUAGAGGAUGCACUGAAAGAAACUUCCUGAGUAAAGCGUGACUCAAACAAACAAGUCCACCAAGCAAACACAAGUGGUCGGCCAUGCACCACACUCACAAUCUUGCCUUCAGAAAAGUACAUGCAUAUGAGACUAGCUGCACCUCCAUCUACCUGUUAGUUCUGUUGUGCAAGGCUUGUGUCGUCUCGUCAUACGUGUGUCAUCUUCCUUUUUCAUUUAGUCUAUGUCGAAACCACAAGAGAACGUGCAUCUGCCUUCGCCUUUUUUCUGCUGUACAAAAAGAGAACUCCUACCCGUUUCAUUCCUCUCACUGUUUUGUUUUGAGACAGGGUCUCUUGAUUUAGCCCGAGUUGUCCUGAAAUUCUCUGUGCCGACAAGGCCGGCUUUGACUUGGGUUCAGUGCUAGAACAACAGUGACUAUUGUCCACUGAUGCAUUUCUAGCUUCACAACCGAUGACUUUUUAUGAUUCUUCAGUGUGAUCCCCACAAUGGCCUCGGGGACCGAUACCGAGACCAUUCUCACGAUGUGACUUCUGUAAACCAUAAAGCAGCCAAUGUGUUUUAUAAUCUGCUUCCUUUCAUCCUCCCAUCUCCCUUCAGAGAGCCACUUUAGCACCACGACUAGGAGGACAGGAACUACCAGAGCCCCAUCAAAUCCAGCAGAGAGAUGGGACCACAUCACCACUACUACAGCGAGAAGGCCAGGAACAACUACAGCACCAUCAAAUCCUAUGAGUAAGACAAGCUCUCAGAAGAAAAAAGGAAGGAAGGAUUUUCCACAUCAGCUACCUGUUUCAGUUGGUCAGACAAGGAUCUCGAAGAUAUCUUGGGAGACGGGGGAUACAAACCUGACAAGAACAGAGUGGAUGGACUGCCAGACCGAAGGCUUCAUGAAAGAACUGUGCUGCUGUGAACGUCUGUAUAUGGGCUUAUAGAAGAUUUCACACAGCCUUUUGCAACAGAUCCCAGAACCAAACUUUAUACUAUUAAAACAUCUCAUAUGUGCAUUAGUAAUAAUAAAAGAUUCUUCCAUGAAUAAUUUAGACAGUUACAAGUUAUCUCUGUGCAUAGCUCC